AAUUUCCCUUAGACAAAGAUGUUCUAAGGGCAGAAAGGAAAAUGAUUGGUUGACAGAUUCAACCAAUGAAAUUGAAGCAGAGGCGGGGUCAGGAAAUUUGGACGUGUGGAGGGAAUACUUCAGACAGAAACGUUAUUAGCGCUUCGUGGGAGGCAUUUGUUGCAAGAUGCUGUGCAGUGAGAUGGUCAGUGAUGUAGUGUUCCUGGCAUGGAAGUUUCUUGCACAAAAGAAAGUGGUCCAGAAAAUAUAUGAAAAUGAGGAUGUUCAUGAUUCAAUAUCCCAUACUAAAUAGUUUAGUUGCAGAAGACCUUACAAAGAUUUCUGGAGACUGAGAGACUGGCUUUGAGAAGAUAUUUGGAAAAGCAACCUCUGACUUUGGGCUUGGUUUAAAGGGAGCCUGUUCAAAUUUGUUGACUCAUGUCUAAAAUAAAAAUACAAAAAUAAAACACUUAAAAACCUCUAGGAAUGAUGAUAUCCACUAGUUAAGACUACAGCAGUUUAAUAAUACAUCUUGCUGAACUUUUUUGUUGUGAAACGUUCCUGUGUUUUAUACAUGCAUUUAACUCACUGGAUUUUUUUGUAAUUUGUAAUUGUAUAAAAAAAGAAGGAAGUCAUAAUUAAACUUUUUUUAUUGUAAUAUUGCUAAUAUUGUAAACUGAUUAUUUUCAAUCAACAUUUCUUUCAUUUUGUUCUUAAACAAUCUG